CUUCUGGCAUCAGGAUGUUGCUCAUCUUGAGCAUCGUGGUUCUUUCUCUCACAGCACUGAGUGGAUGUUUGGGCUCUGUGUAUGUGUGUGGGCCAGCCAGGCACGCCCGAAAAGGGUUCAGAGGGAUGGGGUUGUGGAGGCAGGAGCUGCCCAGAGCCAGCAUGGAGACUGAGCCAACACCUGAGCUUUGAGACCAGUGGUAGAAAACAUUUCCCUCCCUCUCCGGCAAGCAUCUGGCCUCACAGAAGAUGUGGCCUUGAAAUACCCCUGGGUGGAGGAGGGUUGAACCCCAGGAGGGCUGAAUCCCAGGUGUCUUGUUAUAGGGGGAAGGAGCACCUCUGGACCCCCACAUGAACCUCUCUGAUGGGCAGGCCCAAUCCUGGCAGCAUUGCAAGGGGAUUCCUGGUGACUGGUACCCAACAGCACAAGCAGCCUGUGCAAGGUCCACCACACUCAGCCUGCUCAGCUCUGGGCCUUUGAUGGGGAAGGAAUAAGUGAUGCCUCAGACAGGUAUUUUUAGAAGUAAUUUGGUUUCUAGAGUCCUCUUAGGUUCCCACUUUGUCCACCCACUUCUCCAUUUUGUGCUGGACCUACCGAUGAACCCGUGAAGGACCUGUGGCCUGACACCAACAUCAUCACGCCCUCCAAGGAAGAGCAACACCUUCAGAGAAACGGAAGGGAUUAUGGGAGGAAAAAGAAGAUUGCUCAUGUGGUGUUAUGUGAACACACAGACUGAAAUGAAGAUGCACAUGCAGAAUUUUACUGCAAGAACAAGCUGGUCAGUGCAAGACUAUUAAAUUGCUCACACUGAGCUGUACCUGUG